rnacentral:rRNA from 1 species
UUCGCCCUUAGAGUUUGAUCCUGGCUCAGGACGAACGCUGGCGGCGCGCCUAACACAUGCAAGUCGAACGGAGCUGAGAGAAGCUUGCUUUUCUUAGCUUAGUGGCGAACGGGUGAGUAACGCGUGAGUAACCUGCCCUGGAGUGGGGGACAACAGUUGGAAACGACUGCUAAUACCGCAUAAGCCCACGGCCCGGCAUCGGGCUGAGGGAAAAGGAUUUAUUCGCUUCAGGAUGGACUCGCGUCCAAUUAGCUAGUUGGUGAGGUAACGGCCCACCAAGGCGACGAUUGGUAGCCGGACUGAGAGGUUGAACGGCCACAUUGGGACUGAGACACGGCCCAGACUCCUACGGGAGGCAGCAGUGGGGGAUAUUGCACAAUGGGGGAAACCCUGAUGCAGCGACGCCGCGUGGAGGAAGAAGGUUUUCGGAUUGUAAACUCCUGUCGUUAGGGACGAUAAUGACGGUACCUAACAAGAAAGCACCGGCUAACUACGUGCCAGCAGCCGCGGUAAAACGUAGGGUGCAAGCGUUGUCCGGAAUUACUGGGUGUAAAGGGAGCGCAGGCGGACCGGCAAGUUGGAAGUGAAAACUAUGGGCUCAACCCAUAAAUUGCUUUCAAAACUGUUGGCCUUGAGUAGUGCAGAGGUAGGUGGAAUUCCCGGUGUAGCGGUGGAAUGCGUAGAUAUCGGGAGGAACACCAGUGGCGAAGGCGACCUACUGGGUACCAACUGACGCUGAGGCUCGAAAGCAUGGGUAGCAAACAGGAUUAGAUACCCUGGUAGUCCAUGCCGUAAACGAUGAUUACUAGGUGUUGGAGGAUUGACCCCUUCAGUGCCGCAGUUAACACAAUAAGUAAUCCACCUGGGGAGUACGACCGCAAGGUUGAAACUCAAAGGAAUUGACGGGGGCCCGCACAAGCAGUGGAGUAUGUGGUUUAAUUCGAAGCAACGCGAAGAACCUUACCAGGUCUUGACAUCCGAUGCAUAGCUUAGAGAUAAGUGAAGUCCUUCGGGACAUCGAGACAGGUGGUGCAUGGUUGUCGUCAGCUCGUGUCGUGAGAUGUUGGGUUAAGUCCCGCAACGAGCGCAACCCUUAUUGCCAGAUACUACGCAAGAGGACUCUGGCGAGACUGCCGUUGACAAAACGGAGGAAGGUGGGGAUGACGUCAAAUCAUCAUGCCCUUUAUGACCUGGGCUACACACGUGCUACAAUGGCCACGACAGAGAGAAGCGAAUUCGAGAGGAAGAGCGGAUCUCAAAAAAGUGGUCCCAGUUCGGAUUGUGGGCUGCAACCCGCCCACAUGAAGUCGGAGUUGCUAGUAAUCGUGGAUCAGCAUGCCACGGUGAAUACGUUCCCGGGCCUUGUACACACCGCCCGUCA